CCUACGGGAGGCUGCAGUGGGGAAUAUUGCACAAUGGGGGAAACCCUGAUGCAGCGACGCCGCGUGGGUGAAGAAGUAAUUCGUUAUGUAAAGCUCUAUCAGCAGGGAAGAAAAUGACGGUACCUGAGUAAGAAGCCCCGGCUAACUACGUGCCAGCAGCCGCGGUAAUACGUAGGGGGCAAGCGUUAUCCGGAUUUACUGGGUGUAAAGGGAGCGUAGACGGGAGUGCAAGUCUGGAGUGAAAGGCGGGGGCUCAACCCUCGGACUGCUCUGGAAACUGUACGGCUGGAGUGUGGGAGAGGUAAGUGGAAUUCCUGGUGUAGCGGUGAAAUCCGUAGAGAUCAGGAGGAACACCAGUGGCGAAGGCGGCCUACUGGACUGUAACUGACGUUGAGGCUCGAAAGCGUGGGGAGCAAACAGGAUUAGAUACCCGAGUAGUC
rnacentral:rRNA from 1 species